UCAGGAAUUUAGAUCUUUAAGGAAAGUUUUUUUAUGCAAUGGGAGAACUGGAUUGUGUCAUACAUAGAGUGUUCAAACUGAACUGGAGGAAAAUAUUAAGUGGGUAACUGGGGACAAGAGGGGAGUGUGGAGGAGGAAAGAAAGAGAAGCAGGUGUUCGAU